AAGCUAAAGCAUAUUCUCAAAUUAAUUAUUGGCAGCAAGAAAAUGAUCCAAAAGAACAAAAAAAAGGGUGGCACAUAACAUUACAUCACCUCCGUAAGUCCUCAGUCUAUUAUCAUCUCAGUGACUACAUCCAACACCACCUGGGUGGUGCAUAGACGUGAAAGCUCGAUUGUGUCAUGCUUUUUCCUGGACAGGGAAAGCUCCCUGCCUGGAA
rnacentral:misc_RNA from 1 species